rnacentral:rRNA from 1 species
AUUGAACGCUGGCGGCAUGCCUUACACAUGCAAGUCGAACGGCAGCGGACCUUCGGGUGCCGGCGAGUGGCGAACGGGUGAGUAAUGCAUCGGAACGUGCCAUUGAGUGGGGGAUAACGUAGCGAAAGUUGCGCUAAUACCGCAUAUUCUGUGAGCAGGAAAGCAGGGGACCGCAAGGCCUUGCGCUCUUUGAGCGGCCGAUGUCAGAUUAGCUAGUUGGUGAGGUAACGGCUUACCAAGGCGACGAUCUGUAGCGGGUCUGAGAGGAUGAUCCGCCACACUGGAACUGAGACACGGUCCAGACUCCUACGGGAGGCAGCAGUGGGGAAUUUUGGACAAUGGGGGCAACCCUGAUCCAGCCAUGCCGCGUGAGUG